CUCAAGUAGGUCAUUCCUGAAAGCAACCAUCACGCAGCAGGAAGAGGUGACUUGCGGGCUGCAAGCGCACUUUGUACUGCUGAGCUAGCAAAGGUUACAGCAACAAUGGAAAACAAUGUCAGCUCUUAUCUCUGAGGCCUCUGCUCUAUAAUCCAUUAUUGGAAGUGGUGCACUGAGCAUGGGAUCUAGGCAUAUGGUCAGUCCCAUAAAGGGAACAGUCAGGAAGGUCAGCAGACAUAUGGCAGAAAGGCCAAGAAGUCAACAUGUCGAGAAGGCAACAAGCCAAGCUGCUGACAGGAGGAUCAACUGCUACAAAUCAUCAGAAGGCAAGAGAAGCAUUGAAGACACCUGCAAACUAUUUAUACCUAAACAGCAGACUGAGGACCCUUCUACACUACAAUAUAAUCCAAAUUAUCAAAAUAGAUAAUCCACAUUAUGUGAUUUGAACUGGAUUAUAUGAGUCAACACUGCCAUAUAAUCCACUAACCAAUGCAAGUAAAAGUGUGUCAAGCCAUCCUUUAAACAGAAAGGUGUUUUCCACUAGAAAUGUUAUGUCCAUUUGAAUGUUAGGAUUAGCAAAUAUGUACCAUGUUGGAUUAUAUAAUUCUGUGACACUCCUGGCAAAAUCUCACUUUUAAAAGAACAUUUGUGCUUCACUAAAUGAUUCUGGUUCCCUUCUGUAAUUAUAGAUUCUUAUCAAAAUACAUGUAAUUUUAAAUAUGCUAUAGAACAGUGUUUCUCAACCUGUGGAUCGUGAGGGGGUGUCAGAGGUGUCACCAAAGACCAUCGGAAAACACAGUAUUUUCUGUUGUUCAUGGGAAUUCUGUAUGGGAAGUUUGGCCCAAUUCUAUCGUUGGUGGGGUUCAGAAUGCACUUUGAUUGUAGGUGAACUAUAAAUCCCAGCAACUACAACUCCCAAAUGUCAAAGUCUAUUUUCCCCAACCUCCACCAGUGUUCACAUCUGGGCAUAUUGAGUAUUCGUGCCAAGUUUGGUCCAGAUUCAUCAUUGUUUGAGUCCAUAGUGCUCUCUGUGUGUAGGCGACUACAACACCAAAACUCAAGGUCAAUGCCCAGCAAACCCGUUCAGUAUUUUCACUUGAUCACGGGAGAUCUGGGUGCCAACAUUGGUUCAAUUCCAUCAUUGGUGGGGUUCAGAAUGCUCUUUGAUUGUAGGUUAACUAUAAAUCCCAGCAACUACAACUCCCAAAUGACCAGUAUUCAAAUUUGGGUGUAUCAAGUAUUUGUGCCAAAUUUGGUCCAGCGAAUGGAAAUACAUCCUGGAUAUCAGAUAUUUACAUUACAAUUCAUAAUAGUAGCAAAACUACAGUUAUGAAGUAGCAACGAAAAUAAUUUUAUGGUAGGGGGUCACCACAACAUGAGGAUCUGUAUUAUGGGGUCACAGCAUUAGGAAGGUCAAAUACCACUGUUAUAGAAUAUAAAAUAAUCUUACAUUUUUAGUUUGAAAAGACGUGGCUUUUUAGAAAAUGCUUUUCUUCUUUUACCCAGCAAUCAUGCAGGCAACAUCUCAUCUGAUAUAGAGAUGCUUGACAAAAAUGAUACCAAUUAUGACUAAUCAUGUCAAAGAACGGCACUGGAGGAGGAGAAAAAAUGCUGUCGUUCAAGCUCAAAUUAAUGUAGGAAGUGAUUAGAUAGCAUAGUGAAAUGGGGCCAACAAUAAAGAUCACAAAAUGUCUGCCAUUUGGCAACCCUGUGAGAUGUUGGAGAUAAAAGCAUCAGUGGCUUAGUGUUAUAUUGCAAUGGAUGAGAUUCCCUGAAUUACUGAGCCAGAAAUCCAGAAAUCCGAAAUGCUUCAAAAUUGUCCACAUUGGUGGCUGAAGUUUUUGUUUUCUUAUGAUUCAAUGUAACAAAUUUUGUUUCAUGCACAAAAUUAUUAAAAAUGUUGUGUGGAAAAUUA